CCGAGUUCAUGCCCUCACGGGUAGAUCUCCCACCCUAUGUUAUUAUUACCUCUGUUGCUUUGGCGGGCCGCUAGAUUUCGGUCAGGCUACCGGCUCCGGCUGGUAAGCGCCCGCCAGAGGACCCCAAACCCUGAAUAUUAGUGUCGUCUGAGUACUAUAUAAUAGUUA
rnacentral:misc_RNA from 1 species